UACGUAGGGGGCAAGCGUUGUCCGGAAUUAUUUGGGCGUAAAGCGCGUGUAGGCGGCCAGAUAAGUCCGCUGUGAAAUCUCGAGGCUCAACUUCGAGCUGUCGGUGGAAACUGUCUGGCUAGAGUCCGGAAGAGGAGAAUGGAAUUCCUGGUGUAGCGGUGAAAUGCGCAGAUAUCGGGAGGAACACCUAUGGCGAAGGCAGCUCGCUGGGACGUUACUGACGCUGAGACGCGAAAGCGUGGGGAGCAAACAGG
rnacentral:rRNA from 1 species